rnacentral:rRNA from 1 species
ACUUUAAGUCUCCUGAAGGAACGUUGAAGACGACGACGUUGAUAGGUCGGGUGUGUAAGUGUAGCGAUACAUUGAGCUAACCGAUACUAAUGAACCGUGAGGCUUAACCUU